rnacentral:misc_RNA from 1 species
GAUGAAGAACGCAGCGAAAUGCGAUAAGUAGUGUGAAUUGCAGAAGUACCGUGAAUCAUCGAAUCUUUGAACGCAAAUUGCACUCUCUGGUAUUCCGGGGAGUAUGCCUGUUUGAGGGUCGCUUAACAAACCAUCGAUUUCGUUGCUUUUUUUUUUUAAAAAAGUGAUGUUUAUCGGAUUUGAGCCGUCUUUUUUUUUUAUAUUUAAGUGGCUUAAAAUUGAUUUUUUUGGUACGAUCGAAGCGUAUUUUUAUGAUCAAUUUUUGGUUAAAGAAACGCACACGUACCGUUAUUUAUAUGAUGUAAUACGUUUGACUAUUGGAUUUAGUUCAUUCGUAUACGAUAUUUUUCAAUAUUUGACCUCAAAUCAGGUAAGAACACCCGCUGAACUUAAGCAUAUCAAUAAGCGGAGGA